rnacentral:rRNA from 1 species
GACGUAGGGCGCGAGCGUUGUCCGGAUUUAUUGGGCGUAAAGAGCUUGUAGGCGGCUCGUCGCGUCGGGUGUGAAAACUUGCGGCUUAACCGCAAGCCUGCACCCGAUACGGGCGGGCUAGAGUUCGGCAGGGGAGACUGGAAUUCCUGGUGUAGCGGUGGAAUGCGCAGAUAUCAGGAGGAACACCGGUGGCGAAGGCGGGUCUCUGGGCCAAUACUGACGCUGAGAAGCGAAAGCGUGGGGAGCGAACAGG